rnacentral:rRNA from 1 species
CCUACGGGAGGCAGCAGUGGGGAAUAUUGGGCAAUGGACGUAAGUCUGACCCAGCAACGCCGCGUGAAGGAAGACGGCUUUCGGGUUGUAAACUCCCUUUUAGGGGGAAGAGCAGCAGACGGUACGCCUUGAAUAAGACACGGCUAACUACGUGCCAGCAGCCGCGGCCAUACGUAGGUGGCAAGUGUUAUCCGGAUUUCCUGGGUGUAAAGGGUGUGCUGCCGGGGAGGCAAGUCAGAUGUGAAAUCAGCGGGCUCAACUCGCGAACUGCGUUUGAAACUGGUUCCCUUGAGUAUCGGAGAGGUAGUCGGAAUUCCUGGUGUAGCGGUGAAAUGCGUAGAUAUUAGGAAGAACACCAGUGGCGAAGGCGGAUUACUGGACGACUACUGACGGUGAGGCGCGAAAGCGUGGGGAGCAAACAGGAUUAGAUACCCUAGUAGUC